UACGAAGGGUGCAAGCGUUACUCGGAAUUACUGGGCGUAAAGCGUGCGUAGGUGGUGAGUUAAGUCUGAUGUGAAAGCCCACGGCUCAACCGUGGAGGGUCAUUGGAAGCUGGGGGACUUGAGUACAGAAGAGAAGAGUGGAAUUCCACGUGUAGCGGUGAAAUGCGUAGAGAUGUGGAGGAACACCGGUGGCGAAGGCGGGUCUCUGGGCCGAAACUGACGCUGAGGAGCGAAAGCGUGGGGAGCGAACAGG
rnacentral:rRNA from 1 species